CUCCCAUUGCUGCCACCCCCAGAGGCUGCCUUCACCCUGAGAUAUCCUUCCAUUUAGGAACUGCUAGUCAGUCCAGGGAGCUGACUGGAUGAUAUCCACUUAGGCCCCCUUCUCCGCCUCCCUCUCUGGGUUAGCAACCCACAGCGCUCAGGGUUCUAACCUGUUCUCUGCUUCCUUUCCUGCAACAGUCUACCUUGGAUUCCAUGCAGGUAGCGCCUCGUUCUCCACUUCCCCACACCUCUCCAGGCUGGCUGAGUUGCAUCUCCUCCCUCAGGGCCCAGGCAGUCCCCCUCUCUCAUCCAGCAGAGGGGGUGUCACUGGGAGCAGGCAUGAGAAUCCAUAGGGGGUGGAGUUCCCACAGGACACGUGCGGCUGUCCCCUUGUCCCAGGCCUGCCGCCGUGUCUGUCAGACACUGGGCCUCCCCUCUCUAGCCACCCUGAUCAUGAGGAAGUUCAUCACCAGUCUAACUUAGGAGCCUCGCCAUAGUGGCCGGAGAGAGCCCCUGCUAUUGGGACUCUCCUCAGACCUGAGAAAACUUCCCGGGCAUUGGCCCAUUCCCAUCACGAAGACAUCCCUGGCUCCCCUGUGGAAUUUCCUGCCCGCCUCUCUCAGGGAACGGGUUUGAGUUGCUGAUUGUGGGAGGGUGAUGAGCAGUGGAGCUGAGAAAACUCCUGCGGUGAUGGUGGUGAUGAUGGGGUGGGAAUGAUCCCUGUUGGCCUAGAAAGCAGCCAGAGGCAGAGGUGCCAUCGCCUAGGGCCUGAGGGUUGGUGAGUGUGUGGCAGGCCCCGGCCUUGGCUCUGGAGGGGGCUGGGGUGAAGAUGUCCCAGGACACAGCCCAGGACUUCACCCUCCGCUCUGAUGCAUUAAGGACAGUGGGGUGGCCAAGGCAAGGCUGGUGCCCAGGCCUGGGGCUGGGUGGAUGGAUAUGACCUGAAACCCAGUGUAGGGCUGUGUACAGAUGGCACGGGCUGGCACUGGGUAGCUUUGAGGGGCCUGGCGGCUCAUGGUGGGUCUUGGCCCAGGCCCGGGUUCGAGAGCUCGAAGAACAGUGCCGCAGCCAAACCGAGCAGUUCAGCCUCCUGGCACAGGAACUCCAGGCUUUCCGCCUGCACCCGGGCCCCUUGGAUCUGCUCACAUCUGCCCUGGACUGUGGGAGCCUUGGAGACUGCCCACCACCCCCCUGCUGCUGCUCCAUUCCCCAGCCUUGCCGGGGGUCUGGCCCCAAAGACCUUGACCUCCCGCCGGGCUCCCCUGGGCGCUGCACCCCAAAGUCUUCCGAGCCUGCCCCUGCCACUCUCACUGGGGUCCCUCGAAGGACAGCCAAGAAGGCAGAGUCUCUCUCCAACUCCUCCCACUCCGAGUCCAUCCACAACAGCCCCAAGUCAUGCCCUACACCUGAGGUAAUUGCUGGGGUGGGGCCUGAAGUUCUGGCUUUGGCUUGGGGAAGGGUGCA
rnacentral:lncRNA from 1 species